CCUACGGGUGGCAGCAGUGAGGAAUAUUGGUCAAUGGACGAGAGUCUGAACCAGCCAAGUAGCGUGAAGGAUGACUGCCCUAUGGGUUGUAAACUUCUUUUAUAUGGGAAUAAAAUGUUGCACGUGUGGGAUUUUGUAUGUACCAUAUGAAUAAGGAUCGGCUAACUCCGUGCCAGCAGCCGCGGUAAUACGGAGGAUCCGAGCGUUAUCCGGAUUUAUUGGGUUUAAAGGGAGCGUAGGUGGAUUGUUAAGUCAGUUGUGAAAGUUUGCGGCUCAACCGUAAAAUUGCAGUUGAAACUGGCAGUCUUGAGUACAGUAGAGGUGGGCGGAAUUCGUGGUGUAGCGGUGAAAUGCUUAGAUAUCACGAAGAACUCCGAUUGCGAAGGCAGUUCACUGGACUGCAACUGACACUGAGGCUCGAAAGUGUGGGUAUCAAACAGGAUUAGAUACCCUAGUAGUC
rnacentral:rRNA from 1 species